UGGGGAAUAUUGGACAAUGGGCGCAAGCCUGAUCCAGCAAUGCCGCGUGUGUGAAGAAGGCCUUCGGGUUGUAAAGCACUUUUAUCAGGAGCGAAACGCUGUCGGCUAAUACCCGGCGGAACUGACGGUACCUGAGGAAUAAGCACCGGCUAACUUCGUGCCAGCAGCCGCGGUAAUACGAAGGGUGCAAGCGUUAAUCGGAAUUACUGGGCGUAAAGCGUGCGUAGGCGGUUUCUUAAGUCUGCUGUGAAAUCCCCGGGCUCAACCUGGGAAUGGCAGUGGAUACUGGGAGGCUAGAGUGUGUCAGAGGGUGGUGGAAUUCCCGGUGUAGCGGUGAAAUGCGUAGAGAUCGGGAGGAACAUCAGUGGCGAAGGCGGCCACCUGGGACAACACUGACGCUGAGGCACGAAAGCGUGGGGAGCAAACAGGAUUAGAUACCCUGGUAGUCCACGCCCUAAAGCGAUGCGAACUGGAUGUUGGUCUCAAGCUCGGAGAUCAGUGUCGAAGCUAACGCGUUAAGUUUCGCCGCCCCGGGGAGUACGGUCGCAAGACUGAACUCAAAGGAAUUGACGGGGUCAUAGCUGUUUCCUG
rnacentral:rRNA from 1 species